AUACAUGCAAGUCGAGCGAACAGAUAAGGAGCUUGCUCCUUUGACGUUAGCGGCGGACGGGUGAGUAACACGUGGGUAACCUACCUAUAAGACUGGGAUAACUUCGGGAAACCGGAGCUAAUACCGGAUAACAUUUGGAACCGCAUGGUUCUAAAGUGAAAGAUGGUUUUGCUAUCACUUAUAGAUGGACCCGCGCCGUAUUAGCUAGUUGGUAAGGUAACGGCUUACCAAGGCAACGAUACGUAGCCGACCUGAGAGGGUGAUCGGCCACACUGGAACUGAGACACGGUCCAGACUCCUACGGGAGGCAGCAGUAGGGAAUCUUCCGCAAUGGGCGAAAGCCUGACGGAGCAACGCCGCGUGAGUGAUGAAGGGUUUCGGCUCGUAAAACUCUGUUAUUAGGGAAGAACAAAUGUGUAAGUAACUGUGCACAUCUUGACGGUACCUAAUCAGAAAGCCACGGCUAACUACGUGCCAGCAGCCGCGGUAAUACGUAGGUGGCAAGCGUUAUCCGGAAUUAUUGGGCGUAAAGCGCGCGUAGGCGGUUUCUUAAGUCUGAUGUGAAAGCCCACGGCUCAACCGUGGAGGGUCAUUGGAAACUGGGAAACUUGAGUGCAGAAGAGGAAAGUGGAAUUCCAUGUGUAGCGGUGAAAUGCGCAGAGAUAUGGAGGAACACCAGUGGCGAAGGCGACUUUCUGGUCUGUAACUGACGCUGAUGUGCGAAAGCGUGGGGAUCAAACAGGAUUAGAUACCCUGGUAGUCCACGCCGUAAACGAUGAGUGCUAAGUGUUAGGGGGUUUCCGCCCCUUAGUGCUGCAGCUAACGCAUUAAGCACUCCGCCUGGGGAGUACGACCGCAAGGUUGAAACUCAAAGGAAUUGACGGGGACCCGCACAAGCGGUGGAGCAUGUGGUUUAAUUCGAAGCAACGCGAAGAACCUUACCAAAUCUUGACAUCCUUUGAAAACUCUAGAGAUAGAGCCUUCCCCUUCGGGGGACAAAGUGACAGGUGGUGCAUGGUUGUCGUCAGCUCGUGUCGUGAGAUGUUGGGUUAAGUCCCGCAACGAGCGCAACCCUUAAGCUUAGUUGCCAUCAUUAAGUUGGGCACUCUAGGUUGACUGCCGGUGACAAACCGGAGGAAGGUGGGGAUGACGUCAAAUCAUCAUGCCCCUUAUGAUUUGGGCUACACACGUGCUACAAUGGACAAUACAAAGGGCAGCUAAACCGCGAGGUCAUGCAAAUCCCAUAAAGUUGUUCUCAGUUCGGAUUGUAGUCUGCAACUCGACUACAUGAAGCUGGAAUCGCUAGUAAUCGUAGAUCAGCAUGCUACGGUGAAUACGUUCCCGGGUCUUGUACACACCGCCCGUCACACCACGAGAGUUUGUAACACCCGAAGCCGGUGGAGUAACCAUUUAUGGAGCUAGCCGUCGA
rnacentral:rRNA from 1 species